CAGUGUGAAGGAGCACCUGCUUCUUGACUUGGGUCUGGAGGCCGAAUACAGGAUCCAGGUGCAUCCCUACAAGUCCAUCCUGAGCGAGCUCAAGGCCCUGUGUGCUGACCUCUCCCCAAGGGAGAAGGUGUGGGUCAGUGACAAGGCCAGCUAUGCUGUGAGCGAGACCAUCCCCAAGGACCACCGCUGCUGUAUGCCUUACACCCCCAUCUGCAUCGCCAAAGCUGUGAAGAAUUCAGCUGAGUCAGAAGGCAUGAGGCGGGCUCACGUUCCCAAAGGUGGUGUGACAGAGAUCUCAGCUGCUGACAAAGCUGAGGAGUUUCGCAGGCAACAGGCAGACUUUGUGGACCUGAGCUUCCCAACAAUUUCCAGUACGGGACCCAACGGCGCCAUCAUUCACUACGCGCCAGUCCCUGAGACGAAUAGGACCUUGUCCCUGGAUGAGGUGUACCUUAUUGACUCGGGUGCUCAAUACAAGGAUGGCACCACAGAUGUGACGCGGACAAUGCAUUUUGGGACCCCUACAGCCUACGAGAAGGAAUGCUUCACAUAUGUCCUCAAGGGCCACAUAGCUGUGAGUGCAGCCGUUUUCCCGACUGGAACCAAAGGUA
rnacentral:sRNA from 1 species